rnacentral:rRNA from 1 species
AUCUGGGUCCACCUCCCACCCGUGUUUAUUUUACCUUGUUGCUUCGGCGGGCCCGCCUUAACUGGCCGCCGGGGGGCUUACGCCCCCGGGCCCGCGCCCGCCGAAGACACCCUCGAACUCUGUCUGAAGAUUGUAGUCUGAGUGAAAAUAUAAAUUAUUUAAAACUUUCAACAACGGAUCUCUUGGUUCCGGCAUCGAUGAAGAACGCAGCGAAAUGCGAUACGUAAUGUGAAUUGCAAAUUCAGUGAAUCAUCGAGUCUUUGAACGCACAUUGCGCCCCCUGGUAUUCCGGGGGGCAUGCCUGUCCGAGCGUCAUUUCUGCCCUCAAGCACGGCUUGUGUGUUGGGCCCCGUCCUCCGAUCCCGGGGGACGGGCCCGAAAGGCAGCGGCGGCACCGCGUCCGGUCCUCGAGCGUAUGGGGCUUUGUCACCCGCUCUGUAGGCCCGGCCGGCGCUUGCCGAUCAACCCAAAUUUUUAUCCAGGUUGACCUCGGAUCAGGUACGGAUACCCGCUGAACUUAAGCAUAUCAAUAAGCGAAGAUCAUUACCUAGUGAUGGCCCUCUGGGUCAACCUCCCCCCGUGUUUAUUUUACC